rnacentral:rRNA from 1 species
AUGUCGCUGCUGUUGUUUUAUCCAUUGGAGGUCUCAAGGACCAAGCUUGCCAAUGAUCUUAAGAUCAAAGGCAAAUGGGAAUUUGAUGGUCACCUGGAUGUUUAUCGUCGUAUAUUGGGACCCAGACCACACGUGGAGGAUCUAUACAGGGGGUAUUUCGUCUCCUCGUAUGGAGCAGGGAUAUACCGUGGCCUGUACUUUGGACUUUAUGGCGCCCUCAAGUCUAUUGUUCUCACUGGCAGUACCAAGCAGGAUGAUUUCCUAGCCAGUUUUGCAUUAGCGUGGGUGACUACCAACGUGUCGGCCUUUGCAACAUACCCAAUUGAUACAAUUAGGAGGAGAAUGAUGAUGAAUGGCUUUAGCUUCUCUGAAGUGUUGCUUGAUGUGGGUGCCACCCCAAGGUUGCUGUACAAGGGAGCUGGUGCGAACAUUCUUCGGUCAGGUGUCGCGGGAGCCUUUAUGUUGGCUGGAUAUGAUCAAGUGCAGGCAUCUCUCACCAAGGGGAAGGUCUGA